UCGAACGGGCGUAGCAAUACGCUAGUGGCGGACGGGUGAGUAACGCGUGAGAAUCUGCCUUGUGGAUGGGGACAACAGUGGGAAACCGCUGCUAAUACCCGAUAUGCCUAGCGGUAAAAGAUUUAUCGCCACAAGAGGAGCUCGCGUCUGAUUAGCUAGUAGGUGGGGUAAGAGCCUACCUAGGCGACGAUCAGUAGCUGGUCUGAGAGGAUGAGCAGCCACACUGGGACUGAGACACGGCCCAGACUCCUACGGGAGGCAGCAGUGGGGAAUUUUCCGCAAUGGGCGAAAGCCUGACGGAGCAAUACCGCGUGAGGGAGGAAGGCUCUUGGGUCGUAAACCUCUUUUCUUAGGGAAGAAGAUCUGACGGUACCUAAGGAAUCAGCAUCGGCUAACUCCGUGCCAGCAGCCGCGGUAAUACGGAGGAUGCAAGCGUUA
rnacentral:rRNA from 1 species